GAUGAACGCUGGCGGCGUGCCUAACACAUGCAAGUCGAACGGAGUAAGAAGCUUCGGUUUUUUACUUAGUGGCGAACGGGUGAGUAACGCGUGAGGAACCUGCCCUUCAGUGGGGGACAACGGUUGGAAACGACUGCUAAUACCGCAUAAUGUUAUUGAGUGGCAUCAUUUAAUAACCAAAGAUUUAUUGCUGAAAGAUGGCCUCGCGUCUGAUUAGAUAGUUGGUGGGGUAACGGCCUACCAAGUCGACGAUCAGUAGCCGGACUGAGAGGUUGAACGGCCACAUUGGGACUGAGAUACGGCCCAG
rnacentral:rRNA from 1 species